GAAAAUCAUGAAGGAGCAGCAAAGUUACAAGUACACGUACAUUCUCCAGAUUUAAACGUGUACAUUAUGACAUCAUAUAGUUUACUCCAUCCACUUACAUGUCAUUAAUCUACACAUACAUUCUCCAGAUUUGAAGAUGCACAUUACAACACCAUAAAUUUUACUCCAUAUGCACUUACAGGUCCUAAGUUCAUUGUAAAAAAAGGCCGCUGGAGUCCAACCAUGUGUGCAAGUUUGUAGCAAGUGUUUCACUGAUUUUGUGGGAUAGGUCAAUGAUCGUGGUCGUGGAGGACAUGCUGGAGGAGGUGGUGCCUCAAGUGGUCAAGAAGGUCGACCACCUGAUCUCAUCAAGCAUGACAAUGGCAUCGUGGACAUGCAGCGUCAGGGGAAAAGAAGCAGUGGCAGGCUGGCAAGUCAGACCAUGGAAUACUUCCUUCCCGCAAUCCUAAUGGACCUGCAAAAACCACAAGAACGCAAUUUGAGACAUGAAAGAGAUCAACUAAGGAUAGCUAGCCGCAAACAAUUUGUGAACAUAAUUAGAGAUAUGUAGGGCGGUCAUUAUUUGUGUGUAGGGGUCUAGUCCUCACCUCUGCCAAGAAAAUCAGACAAGAGAAACUAAAAAUGGAUGAGGGGGGAGAAUAUUAGAGUUGAAGGAACACAUGAUCUGGAUUAUCUUAUACCAGAGACUGAAUAAGCAGAAGGGACAAGCAGAUGACUGAUGCUGCUCCCAUUUUUUUCUGAAAGCACGAAAUAAAUGGAACACCGUCCGUUCAUGCAGAAUGGACGAAACCUAACGGGCAGGAACCCAAUCCUUAUAAGUUCACCGAAAAGAGUUACAAUGUUAAUCAAAUGCUACUUAGCAGCGAUAACAAACUCUUCAAUUGCUAUCAUGAUGCAUAACAAGUUGAAAUAGAUAACAUGUCUUUCUAUUUGCAAAGGCAUGAUAAGGAUGUAGGUAGAUAGCCAACAUGAUAUUUAUGUCACAAACUUUGCUUCACAUGCAUGAAACCAACAAUGUAUCUGAACAACAAUUCAAACAUGUCUAAUAACAUGGGGAAAAGUUAAAAGUAGUGGAGGGGAUUAUCUUGUAAACUGGGAUUCUGAUGUACCAAAAAGUAGUGUAGCCUAUGAACCAGCAGCUUGUUUGCUGUAUCCUUCAAAGGCUUUUCCAUUCAUAUCAAUCGCUAGACAUGGCAUCCAGAAAAAUUCAGAUAGUCCUCUGGCAUACACAAGAAUCUGCACCGAGUGACUUUCACCUGAAUUCCAUUGCCCCCACUGCAAAAGUAGAAAUAUCAUGAAUUCUUAACAGGCACAACUGAAAACUUUGCAUUACAUGUAAAGCAAAUUGACUAACAAAUAGAAGGACCAAGAACAAUGAUACUGUCGGACACUGCUAACAUCAAGAAAAUUAGAGGUAGUGCAUGUCACAUUUCUAUGUCUAUUUCCUGAUAUUAAAAAUAUUAUUACUCCAAUAGAUUAAUUUCAGGAUGACAGCAUAAUUUCAACUGCAUAUUUUUUUUCUAACAUGGAAAUCUGAUAAGAACAGAGAUUUUUGACGGUGCUACGGCGGGCUUACGCCGGCCUGAACCUUUUCAUUGAUAACCAGACACUAUUUACAGCAGAGGAAACANNNNNNNNNNNNNNNNNNNNNNNNNNNNNNNNNNNNNNNNNNNNNNNNNNNNNNNNNNNNNNNNNNNNNNNNNNNNNNNNNNNNNNNNNNNNNNNNNNNNNNNNNNNNNNNNNNNNNNNNNNNNNNNNNNNNNNNNNNNNNNNNNNNNNNNNNNNNNNNNNNNNNNNNNNNNNNNNNNNNNNNNNNNNNNNNNNNNNNNNNNNNNNNNNNNNNNNNNNNNNNNNNNNNNNNNNNNNNNNNNNNNNNNNNNNNNNNNNNNNNNNNNNNNNNNNNNNNNNNNNNNNNNNNNNNNNNNNNNNNNNNNNNNNNNNNNNNNNNNNNNNNNNNNNNNNNNNNNNNNNNNNNNNNNNNNNNNNNNNNNNNNNNNNNNNNNNNNNNNNNNNNNNNNNNNNNNNNNNNNNNNNNNNNNNNNNNNNNNNNNNNNNNNNNNNNNNNNNNNCUUGCGCUUGCUCAUUAGUACAUCUGCUAGACCAAAGCAGAACAUCAUCAGCGGCAGAACGAGCGAUGAGGUGAACCGGUUGAGUGUCGUCCCUGAAGACUUUUGCAUUCCUUCUUUUCCAAAUGUUCCAAAGGAUGGCGAUGAUUAUUGUAGAGUGAACUUUAUUCUGCAUGUCGUUGGCCCAAAGAUCCGAAAGAUCUGCGGGUAUAUCUGGAGUGAGAGAGGAUAGUUCUCUCCACAGAGUAGUGAGCUCCGGGCAGUGCAGAAGCAGGUGGUUUACGGACUCUGUCCCCGGACAGAGAGGGCAAGCCGGAGAAGUAGCGAUGCCUCGACGAAAACGCCGUUCGUUGGUGAAGAGACGAUUCUUGUUUGCCAGCCAGAGGAAAAUUCUACAUUUGUUUGGAGCGAAAUUCUUCCAGAUGGCCAUUGCCAAGGGAUCGACAGGCUCUCCCUCCCACAUAGCCUUGUAUGCCGCGUUGCAAGUCAGCGGCUUGCCAUCAAAUCGACCUGUUCGGCGGUCUAGUUCCUGCAAAUUCAAGGAAACAGAAGCCAGCAAGUUGCGUAGGCAGCCCAGUUCAAGUUCAGCAGCAUUAGUUAGGCGUGGAGCGAGAUCGAGGCACAGAGCCGGUGAGCUUAGAACCCUGGCAACAGAAGCCGAGGGUCGGAGAACAUGAGAGAACAGAGCAGGGUACCGUGAAGCGAGAAUAUCUGUAGAGCGCGGAACCCAGAGAUCAAGCCAGAAGGCAGUGGAAGUGCCGUUGCCGACGUCCACCUGUGUUAAGCUCCGAAAGAGGGGGAUCCCCUUGGCGAUAUCACGCCACACAUGGGAAUCAUGAGCAUGAGUAGUACCUAGGUCCUGGUCUUCGGACCACCCAUAUCUAGCAGCCAACGGAGAAACCCCGCGAGCCGUAGAUCGUGAGUAGAUAGAGGAAGGCCGAGGUAGGACUGGGGGAAAGAAGCAACCGGGCAACCAAAAAUGUUGGCUAAAUCGUUGGCUAACUCAGGAGGCACGUGGAUGGGGGCAAACGUGCUCUUAUGGAAGUUGAUAUGCAACCCCGUGGCUUGAGAGAAUUGAAGCAGGAUAGCUUUUAAGGUCUGAAGUUGAGCAGCCUCCGCCGGCAAGAUGAUCAACGUAUCGUCAGCGUACUGAAGAACUGGGCAAGGAAGCUCCUGAUUAAUUAGGUGAGCUAACCUACCAUCAUUGGAGGACUGGUAGAUCAGACGCUGAAGGACAUCAGCAACAAUAAUGAAAAGAUAGGGAGAAAGCGAGUCGCCCUGUCGUAGCCCCUGUUUGCAGUUGAUCCAAGGGCCAGGCUUGCCAUUCAGAACAACAGCCGACUGACUAGAACGGUUCAGGCUGUCAACCCAAUUGCACCAAAUCUCGGGGAAGCCCUUGGCAAGCAUGAUAGCUCCCAGAGCGGUCCAGGAGACCGAGUCAAAUGCUUUUUUGAAGUCAAGUUUAAGCACAAUAGCUGCUUUUUUGCGCUUAAAGCACGUUUGAACAAUAUCAGCGGCAUACGUAAAGUUAUCCGCAAUGCUUCUACCUUUGAUAAAUCCAUAUUGAUCCUGGUGGAUGAUAGAGAAGAUAAAUGGUUGGACUCUAGAGGUAAGGCAUUUGGAGGUAAGCUUGAUGGUGCAAUUUUGAAGGGAGACCGGACGGAAGUUGUCCGGAGAGGUAGCACCUACUGUUUUGGGAAGAAGCACGAUGAAGGCUUUGUUAAUACGAUUUAGUUGGACAGUACCCUUAUGAAACUCUUCCAUAAGGGCCAGAAGAUCAAAUUUCACGAGGUCCCAAUUGGCCUUGAAGAAAGCCGGGCCAAAACCGUCUGGACCCGGGCUUGCAUUCGAGUUCAUGGCCAGAACCGCCGCACGAAGCUCAUCCAUAGAGAAAGGCCGAGACAGGGAAAGCGCCUGAGAGUGAGUUAGCUGGGAGUCGCGAAAGAGAUUCGGAAGAUCGAACUUGAAGGAGGAUUGGGCGGAAGUGCCAAGCAAGUCGGUGAAGUAGCUAUGAAGAACGCGUUCUUUGCCUAGGUGGGAGGAGAUGUCUUGGCCAUCAACAUGAAGAGUCUUGAUUUGAUUUUUGCGAAACCGAACGGAGGCACAGGCAUGAAUGUAGGCCGAAUUCUCAUCUCCAAUAGUGCACUCUCGCAACUUGGCCCGUUGCCGCCAGUAGUCCGCCAGGCUUUUAUUGUAACGAUGAAGCGCUACCUUAACCGCCAUUCGGAGACUAAGCUCAAGAGUUGAAAGGGGUCUAAACUCCUCCAGCUUGUCGAGGAAAUCGAUGGUUGUAGUGCAGUUUGUAGCCAGACGCUUUGGGGUUUUAGCAUUAACUGCCCACUUUUUCGCAACAUUUCUAGACCGUUUUAAUUUUAGGCAAAGCUUGCCCGCGCUGCCCAAAUGGGAGUGGCGAGGACCCACGCUAGACCAGGUGGUUGAGAUUUGCUGCAGAAACGAGUGGUUAGACAGGAGACAGUUAUUAAGCCUGAAGAUUGAGGGUUUUGGUAUGUCCGAGGAUGCAUGUAACAAAAUCGGGACGUGAUCCGAGGUAGUCCUUGUCAAAGAAGAGAGCGUGGAGUCCGGGAACACCGAUGACCAAGCCAUGUUAACGAAAGCCCUAUCUAGCCGGACUAGAGUAGGGUUGUCUUGUUGAUUAGACCACGUGUAGAGACGGUCUAGGAGCGGGAUUUCUUGGAGCUGCAUGGAGUUAAUGGCCGAAGCAAAUAGCCUAGCUUCGUUAGAGUUAAAGUGGUUGGAAGAUUUGUCUCUUGGGCGAAGAAUAAGGUUGAAAUCCCCGAAUACCAGCCAGGGGCAAGUAAUCGUAGACGACGCAAGGAUUAGGGAGUCCAAGAAUUCUUGUUUAAGGGAAAGAUCGCACGGCCCAUAUACGUUGGUAAUAGCGAAGGAAACGUCAGUUGCCCGGAAGGAGAACCAACACGUGAUGAAGAACCGGUCUAGAUGAACGUUAGUGCACUCUAGAUUAGCGUCGUCCCAAGCGAUUAGCAGCCCCCCAGAUGCCCCAACCGACGGGAGGUAAUGGAAGUUUCUAAGGCCGAUCGGCAGAAAAGAGACAGCCUUAAAAGGUGGAAUAUCUUGCAGCUUAGUUUCUUGAAGGCAAAGGAUCAAACCUUGGGCAGAUUGUAAGGCUUUUUUUACAUCAACACAUUUGUUCGGGCGUCCAAGACCCCGAACAUUCCACGAGGCGAUGUUAAGGCUUUUAGUCAUUGGAUAACAGAUUAGGCGACGAGGGACAGAUAUAAUAGCAAUAGUGGUAGAUAACGAUGCCCGUGCGGGGCCAGGUUACAGCGGAUAGCAGAAACAAACUGGGGUCGAAGCUAUCUAGGGAGAACCCUAGAACUACAGAAAGAGAUACCCCGAUGACAGCACUAGCACAGCUGCGAGAUACGAAUACAUAGGGGGGAGAGAGACAAGGCGGCAUGCUACAACGGUAAAAGACAAGGUUGCUACAACUAAAAUUGCCCAGGGAGUUGCAGCCGCAGGGAAUGAAAGACCGGUAGCAGCGCCGUUGCCGACCGAAGAAGAUGAGGCUGUCACACAUCGGAGAACUCGGGUGCCACCUUGUUCAGGUCGAUCUCGGAGACCCCGCAAGCUUCCACCAGCUCCAGCACGUCCGGGCGAGGCAGAGGGGACGGCUCCUUCGCCGCCAGCUCCAUGAGUUCGGCCGCCGGCAGGAGCCCAGGGGAAGAAACUUUCUGCCUGAGUCCCUCCAGCUUGGACUUCUUGAGCAGCGUGGCCUUCUCGAGCAUUGACAUGCGCCUGGGUUCUUCCCUCUCCUUGAGACGAGCGUUGCGGCGAGUGAAGACGAUGGAAGUUUUGCCCUUGGGAGGCAGCACCGGGACGAAGGUGGGGGAAGAAGGCGGCGGCGUAGUAGGCGAGGCCGGCGGGGCCUCGAGUAGCAGAGGCGCUGGAGGGGGGGCUAUGGGGGCGCCCGAGUCAAAGCGCUCGAGGGCUUCCAUGACCUGGGCCUCCCCGGAGACGAUGUUGCCGAAACUGCGCCCGCGCCAGUCCAUGCAGAAGAUGUCGGCGUCGGUGAUGGGCUUGCGCCUCUCCCCCACCGUGCCAACCUUGUUUAGGUAUCCAAUGGAGCAGGAAGCAAGAUUGGCAACGAUGAGGCGCGGGGAGCCUGCUGGGCGCAUGGGGAUGCGGUAGAAGCACCUCUCGCCGUUCCUGCCGGUGAUGCGGAUGUCGUAGAAGCCGGUGAACAGCUUGACGUCGACAGCGGCCAGACGAGCGUCGAGGGGGACCGCCACCACCAUUGGCUUGUGGUUGGCCAUCAUGGUCUGGCCCCCGGGUAGAACCACCACACGGUCGCGGUAGAGCGCGUCCGAGGGCGGUGGAGGGGGCGGAGCCAUGGCCGCAUCCAUAUCAGCAGGGAAGUCUCCAUCUCCACCGUCACCCCCAUCAUCGCCUCCAUCGCCUCCCCCAUAGCUGGUGUCGGAGUCGGAGUCAACAGGGAAGGCGGGGUUCGGUGGCAGCUCCUCCGAGCGUACCACCAGGACCGUAGCGAUCGCACCGAGGCCCGAGAAGCCGUGGAUGGGGAUGGAGUGAGGGACAUCGGUGAGGGUCCUGCUCUUGACAGAGACGAGGACGGCCGAGUAGUCAACGCCGGUGAGGCAGAUAGGAUCUAUCUGGAUGGGACAAGCAAAGGGGACCACGGAAUUGGUGAUAGUGUCGGCGAACCAGUACUCGAUGGGAAAGUCUUCGAUGUUCAAGGCGGAAACCGUGCCCAGGCGAAACAGGAACCUGUUGUCAGUGUCCUCGCGGCGGACCAGCUGGACAGAGUUAACUGGGCAGUUGAAAGGGCUGGAAAGGCAGGAGAUUUCUCAUUCAUAGGCCGAGCCAAAGAUGACGAGGCCCGCUCCAUGAGAAGAAGCCCUAAUGGCCACCUGGGGGUCCCCCGCCCCGGAUUGGAGAGCUCUGCGGAUGGAAGCGUGGGGAGAUGGGCACGGUGGGUUGACAAAGGCAAAGGCAAGGUUCUGGAAGUGCUCAAGAGGAACAUGUGGCAUGAAGACAUUGGAGUAGUCUCGGCGAUGUCGCGGAGGAGAAGGAGGGAACAUGGGUGGGAUUGCAUCCGAAUCAGUGGAUUCCUCCCCUGAUUCAAAUUCAAUCUCCUCCGGAUCCUCUUCCUCCUCGUCAUCUUCGGCGGCAUCAACUUGCUCAGGGAAGGCGAAAACGCGUGGUGGUGGGGAGGCCAUGCGGGGGGGAGAAGGAAGCUCGCCAUCCUCGGAGGAGGAGGAGAAGAUCUCGAAGGGCACCGGGAUGAAGUCAGCCAUUGGGGCUGCGAUGGAAGAGGAGGAUCUACCGGGAGGCGGAGCAGGAGGAGAGCUAGGCUCGGAGGGUGUUUGAGGGAUGUGAGAAGGGGUGGAUGAGGAGCCGAGGCUUGGGGGUGGUAAAAUAGCCACGCAAUGGUGCUGGGCAUGCCCCACCUGCCAGCAUCUCCGGCAUCGAAACGGGUCUCGGCACUCCUGCAUGAAGUGAUCACGCGCAAGGCAGCGAUGGCAGCGCAUGCUGAAAUCAGGGUUUCUGGGGAUGGAGAGAUGGAAUGAUUUCAGCCGAGGAGGGGUAUGCAUGCUAUAGGAGGGGGAGGAGAGGACACGGGCGUAGGAUUCUUUGCCGCCACCAAUGGGUGUGGAGCGCACGGGGUUUGAGGAAUUGGCAGCCGGCAGAGGCGAGGAAAAGGUUUCGGGAGGGACGUAGUCACAUCCCGUGAACAGAGCCCUAGUUGGCGUUUGUGGUUUGGGCUGGCAGGGUGGCAUGCAUGCCGGAUACGACAUCCAGGGAAGAGGGCCUUCAGGCCUUGGCAGUAUUCCAGGCGCCAGCAGAUCGAUCGGGAUCACCCUGCGCGAGCGAACGGGCUUGGAAGCGAGGCGAGAUGUGGUUGGCUGCAUGCUGAUCUCCAUGCAGCGGCCUACGUCCUGGGGGCGAUCGUAUGUAGGCCAUGGCAGCGGGCCCAGGGGAGUGGGCAAGAUUCCACAUGCAAGGACGUCCAAAAUGACAGAACGCAUGGCAGGUUUCACUGGGCGGGUUGGGCACGCGGUACGGGACUGCACAGGAACUAAUUGACUAUAGACUAGGUGACCAUCACGGGGGGUACUAGUACGAGCAUGGGGAGCAGCAGCCAGUAUGUCAACUUGCUCCUGUUGAGGGGAGGCCGAGGGAAGUGGAUCAGACGGCAAGCCCGAGGAACUGGCGAGACGGUCAGCAUCGGCAGCGCGCGUGGAGCGUUGGUCAGAGCGCGUUGCAUCAGCGAGGGUCAAAGGAGGCGAGGGAAGGGAAGAGCUCGGCGGGAAGGAGGGCGCAGCCGGUAAUUCAAACUCAGCCACGAAAAGCCUCGGAGGAGCGUAGGCACGUGCCGGAGGAUCAACGUGGAAUGAGACGACAGUACCCUGAUAAUUGAUACCCUCCAAAGAGACAAUGAACUGGGCAAUACGCUUACUAGCAACCGAAACCGAGAAUAAGCAAGCACUAAACUAACGACAAACAGGGGUUUCGAAAGCAGAGCCUAACCAAGACUUAAGCAGGGCGGCAAUGGAGGAGGCGGCGGGCGGUGGCGACGGCAGCAACACUUGGACCCAUACCAAAUCCGGAGAUGUCGUGGCCGGCGACGGAGUGAGAGGGAAACAUACCGGCGAGGAGAACUGAGUCAGCGAGUAGUGAAGAAGGGCAUCGCCCGGCGUCCGAAGAAGCGGAGGCGAAGUCCCAGCCAGCCGACGACGCAGCAUGGACGGAGUGGAGGCGGCGAGGAAGCCCGGCCGGAAGGGCGACGCCAAGAGCAGCUCCUCCUUCGACGCGAAGGAGAUGGAGGGAGGGAGCCAAACUCCGGCAGCGUCCGUCCCUCCAAGAGAAGCAUCACGCGGCCCGAGGACGCCCGAGGCAGCGAAACCCCCCGGCGCUCGCGCAAGGGCAGCUCGCAGGCCGAUCUCCAUGGAGGCAGCAGCGUCUAGGGGAGACCGAGGAGGUGGCCGCUGCGGCCGGAGUGGCCGGCGGCGCAUGCGAGAUGUGGAUCGCCUACCUAGAAGCUCAUACAUCUUUUGCUCCGGUCGGUCUUGGGGACGUCUGGAGGUGGAGCAGGUGAAGGAGGAUCAACAUCAUUAUCAUGGCAAGUUGUGCUGCUCUAAGAACAGAGAUUAACCUGAAGCCAAUUGAAGAUUUACCAAAACUGAAGCUAAAUCUGUUCAUAUCAACCAAGCACCCAACUUGUCUAAUAAUACGAGCACGUAUUCCUUUAUGUAUCAACCAAGUUCCCAACUUGUUGAUUAAAAAUGAGCCUCUGUAUACUAAAUAACAUAGAACACAAGGACACUAACAGUGUAACAUUCAUCAUAAUCCAACCAAUCACCAUUGGCUGCCCCUCUUUGCACCCUAAUUGAUAUUUAUCAUGUAUACCUUUUGGUUUAAUCAUUUGUAUUUUCCUAUUAUAGUCUUUCAUUUCCUCUUUCUUUCCUUAAUUUCUCUCUCAUUGACUCUUUGCUACUCUUCUCCUCAAGCGUUGAUCGCACUUCCUGCUAUACCUAGUUUGACCCAAAGGAGACAAACAUGAUGUUUGUUUACGCUGUCCUCCCACCCAAUCGAAGGAACGAACCUUGUGCGCGCCGAUGGAGGUCGAAGAUGCCGCGGGCUGCUGCAGCUGGGGCAGGAGGAUACGCGGGACUGGCAGAGGGCCCGGCGGAGGAGACGCCAGUGGAGGUUGGCCGGAAGAGGACGAGCAAGCCGCGGGCUGGCCGGAGGGGACACCGAUGGAGAUUGGCCGGG
rnacentral:lncRNA from 1 species